AGGAGCAGGAGCAGACAGACUGAAUGGAUUCCCGUUUUCAUUUAAGAAUUAAUGUAAAUGCACGAAUCAGUGCCAACAUCUAACCCUUACAACAUACUUGUACAGGUAUCCCUUAAUACACAAACUAAGAUGCGCACCUGUGUUCCCCUUCUUAAUUUCUACAAACAGCGGGUCAAGAAUAUCAGUUCUUUCUGGACACCAGUCAUGUGUAAGAGAAAACAGAGGUGAUAUGAUUUUGUGUAUUGAGGGAGUGUGAUGACUGUAUGUGGAUUGAUUCUUCCCUUCUUCCUCUGGUCUCUGCGUAUGAGGAUGCAAAAUACUUGUUCCUGUAUCUCGGCCCUCACUUUGAGAGUAAUUGCCGUUAAGUUUAGAUGAUUUGACUUAUCUACCUUGAGUUCAGAGUGAUCUUUAAACUUUUGGUAUGCCCUUUCCUUUUCCACAAAGUAUUUUGACAUCCUGCAAAGAUACAGAAGAUAUAUCAAGACAAGCUAAGAGCAGGAGACAAAAGGGCCAGAGGGACACGAAUAUAAAUGGAACCAGAAAUGAGGGUUAAACAAAACUAUGUCUCAUGGAGACCUACACUCUUGUAAAUGGAGUGCAAACACUGGCUGUAACCUUUCUCGGAUCCAGUAUAGAAGGGGAACACUGCUUGGACGACACCUUUUGCAGUAUUUCUAACAUAAAAUAAAUCAAAUCCAUUGUUUGUCGAUCUAAGCAACCCCCAUAGCGAAGCAGAAAGGGAUUUCUGAAAGUUUCUGUAAAGAAGAUGUUAUUCUUCGUCUCCUUCUUGCGGUGAUGUUUACUCUCAUUUCUUUUACUAUAGGACAAUGGCAGAACUCCAAGAUGAAAUGAGGUUAAGACAGAUCUAUGGCGAUGGGAGUGAUGGUUGGGUGUGAAGCGGGAGCGGAGGUUGUGAAUGACACUUUCAUAUAAACACAUGGACCUUUAACACAACUGCACACAUUUUCUUUCUUCAGUCAUUCUAGGAUGGGAACUGGCAGGCGUACUUCUCAUUUUCUUUUCUGUACCAAAUUAGAAUGUGCCCCUAGGACUAAAGGAAAUAGAGCUGGGGAGCCUGGUAGUUAAAAGCCAGUAAGAAUCAUUAUUUCUGCCUCACUGGUCAGGCAUAUUUUGGGCAAAUGAGUCAGCGCAGUGUGAGAGGGAUGUUUGGGCUAGACUUUAUCAGCAGUUACAUACAUUUUCCAGAGUUACUAAAAGCUGUCCAGGCUGGUUAUUUAGAGCUCUGGGGAAGAGCAGGGCAGAGGAGGUGAGGGAACAGAGUGUAUUUUGUGAUUGGGACAUCUCAGAUUGGGCAAGCUCUCUGUUCUAGCUCUCUCUGAAAUGCUCUCUUUAUGGGGUUUAUACUAUCACUGUAUAAAUUGCUCAAAUUGGCCAGAACCCCUGGGUUCUCAAGUCUGGAACAUCUGACAAGGAUUCCAGCCUGUCAAGCCAUUCUUCCAUAUCAUAUCGGUUUCUCGGCGCAUUUGUCAGAUGGGGGGAUCUAGCAUUUUGAAGACACACAAUUUAGCAGACAUUCAAAUUCGCUGAACAGAUGAAUUCAGAGGGGAGAUGGAGAUCUCAGAUGGAAGAGAUGUUCGAGGAAGAAACUGCAUGGAGGCCUGAAACGCAUGGUCCCCUCUACACACCUGAAGAGGAAGCCGUACAAGAGAUCCAAGAGUCAUGCUGGGACUGUGUAGAGAUUUUGGUAUUUCAGAAUUGCGGAUAAUGGAAUGCGGAUGUGAACAUCUCUAAAGAAAGAAAGACUCAAUCAUAGAGGGGAGAAUUGAACCAUGGAAGUGUAGAAAACGGAGAAGCGUGGAGAACAUGUGAGCAGUGACCAGUCAAGCACUACCCAGCAAGAGGCAGGAUUUACUAUAUUCUGAUUCCAUUGUCAAGGCCAGCGUUGUAAAAAGAAAGAAGUGCUGAGCUCUCUCAACUGAGAUCACUAAACAGUUGGGUCAUUUGAACAGUAUUUUUCUACUCUUGUACUCCCCAAGCCACUGGACAAUUAUCAAUCUUGGCAUAUAUAAAAUAUCUGCAGAAGAGAAUAAUCUUUUCACAACCUUGGGUUCCUACUUCUGUAAUAGGGCAAAGAGGCAAGGGUAGAGAGCAGUCUACACAACUUGGAAGGAUAGUGUCGUGUGGAGAGGGCAGACUUGAGAGACACUGUGCCCUUGAGUCAACGGAACAGACAUCUCCAGAUGACCCCAGAGAGAGGAAGCAGAGGUAAUAAAUACCUUGACUUCUUUCUUUUCUCUCCUUCCAUCUCUUGGUGGGCCACUAGACUAGCAGAACCCAAUCAGAUGCCAUGAAGCAAGGGAGCACAUUGAUGCGGUCCAUACAAGUCAGCCUGCCAGAGCAGAGAGUGCGUCUGGAUGGGUAAAUAGCAAAUAUUGUCACAUUAUGCUCUAGUAGCUGGCAAAUUUCCCAUCAGGGACUUUCACAUUCUGGGGAAUCUUUACUUAAAAGGUUCACUUGAAGGGCACCUGGGUGGCUCAGUGGGUUGAGUGUCCAACUCUUGAUUUCGGCUCAGGUCAUGA